rnacentral:rRNA from 1 species
UCGCAAGACCAAAGAGGGGGACCUUCGGGCCUCUUGCCAUCAGAUGUGCCCAGAUGGGAUUAGCUUGUUGGUGAGGUAACGGCUCACCAAGGCGACGAUCCCUAGCUGGUCUGAGAGGAUGACCAGCCACACUGGAACUGAGACACGGUCCAGACUCCUACGGGAGGCAGCAGUGGGGAAUAUUGCACAAUGGGCGCAAGCCUGAUGCAGCCAUGCCGCGUGUAUGAAGAAGGCCUUCGGGUUGUAAAGUACUUUCAGCGGGGAGGAAGGUGUUGUGGUUAAUAACCGCAGCAAUUGACGUUACCCGCAGAAGAAGCACCGGCUAACUGCGUGCCAGCAGCCGCGGUAAUACGGAGGGUGCAAGCGUUAAUCGGAAUUACUGGGCGUAAAGCGCACGCAGGCGGUCUGUCAAGUCGGAUGUGAAAUCCCCGGGCUCAACCUGGGAACUGCAUUCGAAACUGGCAGGCUUGAGUCUUGUAGAGGGGGGUAGAA